UUUUAAGUGUGAAGUGAAUACAUAAUAUAUUACAGUAAUGACUAAUGACAUAAUAAAUUGUUGAUAACUAAAACUUUUCCAAGACAAAAAUACCAUAUAGAAUUUAUAUAUAUAUAUUGCAUUGGCCGGUGUGCGCAGUAUGUACGGAUAUGGCCAUAGGUUUUGGCAGUUUUGACACUGUGGGAUUAGUCGUUUAUUAUGAGAUUCUUCGAUUAUAACUUCUUUAUAUUUAAGCUUUAUAUUAAGAAUGGUGAUGGUAGUGACUGGUGGUAGAGGAAGACGAUAAUAAUUCGCGUUUGUUUUCGUUAAUUGAGGUUUUAUUUGUUUUUUUCCGUUGUUAUUAUUGUGCGUAGUUUUAAUAGGCGGUAGUGUAAAUUUCGGAGGUAGUUUGAUUAAAUAUCGUGUCCGUAUGAUAUCUACAGUCCAAAGGUCACCAUGUAGAACGGUGCCUUGACCAACGACUUAAUUGUAAGCGUAUUUACACUGUUGCAAUUUUAUUCAACUUAUUAUUUGAUAUUUUGUAUAAUAGGUAUUUAGUAAUAUAACUUGGUUUUGUUUUGUAUUCUG